AUUGAACGCUGGCGGCAGGCUUAACACAUGCAAGUCGAGCGGAGAUGAGGUGCUUGCACCUUAUCUUAGCGGCGGACGGGUGAGUAAUGCUUAGGAAUCUGCCUAUUAGUGGGGGACAACAUUCCGAAAGGAAUGCUAAUACCGCAUACGCCCUACGGGGGAAAGCAGGGGAUCUUCGGACCUUGCGCUAAUAGAGGAGCCUAAGUCGGAUUAGCUAGUUGGUGGGGUAAAGGCCUACCAAGGCGACGAUCUGUAGCGGGUCUGAGAGGAUGGACCGCCACACCGGGACUGAGACACGGCCCAGACUCCUACGGGAGGCAGGAGUGGGGAAUAUUGGAACAUGGGCGGAAGCCUGAUCCAGCCAUGCCGCGUGUGUGAAGAAGGCCUUUUGGUUGUAAAGCACUUUAAGCGAGGAGGAGGCUACCUGGAUUAAUACUCUAGGAUAGUGGACGUUACUCGCAGAAUAAGCACCGGCUAACUCUGUGCCAGCCGCCGCCGUAACAC
rnacentral:rRNA from 1 species